rnacentral:rRNA from 1 species
UACAGAGGUCCCAAGCGUUGUUCGGAUUCAUUGGGCGUAAAGGGUGCGUAGGCGGCGCGGUAAGUCGGGUGUGAAAUCUCGGGGCUUAACUCCGAAACUCCAUUCGAUACUGCCGUGCUUGAGGACUGGAGAGGAGACUGGAAUUUACGGUGUAGCGGUGAAAUGCGUAGAUAUCGUAAGGAAGACCGGUGGCGAAGGCGGCUUCCUGGACCGACACUGACGCUGAGGCGCGAAGGCCAGGGGAGCAAACGGG